CUCAGAUACGAUUGGAAAUUAAAUUAAAUUGAAAGUGGAGGAUUUUAACUGUGGAUACUGUGAGCUAAAUGUUUUUUUUUUCUUCUAUUGUCUCUGAGGAACAGAAUUUCCCGUCUCUUUGUCCUUGGAUUCCUCUUCAUUGUCAGUGGGACGAUAACAAAUGACCAAGGCAGAGUUCCUUCCCCAAUGAUUCAGGCAGAGAGAUGGGGCGCGGUGUGAUCUGACUAAACGCUAAGGAGAGUGUGAUGAUCAUGCAAGUGAUUCAAAGGCACCUUAACAUGGAGUCAGCAUGCCUGGCCGGACCACCUCCAGCCCCCAGCAGAGCAGAGCAGCUCCGACUGGAAGAAGAGGGAUGGUCACAAGUAAAGACCAACGAGAACACCUCAUACAUGGUGCUUUGUUUGUAACCAUGUGUUCUGACCUCAGUGAUUACAAUCAUCAAAAACAAGGUUGUUAUAAGUAUUAUGAUGCAGUUCCCAAUACCCAAUAAUGAAACAAGCAAACUAGGAACGUGUUGCCUGUCUUCAUUCUACUUGUUCCACUCAAGGCUGAAGCUCACUGACGAGGUGCGUAUCGCUUUCAAGGCUUCAAGGUGACUCCUCUGAGAUCUUGAGGAUAGCAUAACUAUGUUUAUCUCAUAUGAAAACUUUGCCACCAAGGCUUGCUGUGAUUAAUGAAGCUCUUCACUGCUGGUCUCUACGCAUGGACAGACAUAGUCACAGGCUGUCCAGUUCAAGCAGGGCUUCAGGAACCGCAGAAUCAGCCCAGCUAGAGAAAACAUCCAUGAAGAGAUAAGCUCCUGCUUCUGUUUUUACACCACUGGUUCAUGAGGAGCACUUGGAUGCUAGAGAGAAUGUGGAUGCGAUGGAGACGACUUUGGACCCCUAAACCCAAAAGAUCCAUCUCUGUGAGGUGUAACAAGUCCUAAAGAGAGACAAAAACAUGGGGAUGAAGUGGUUUAA